rnacentral:lncRNA from 1 species
CCUGUGUCCUCUUUGUAACCCCGCCCCCUCGUCAUCCAAGCCCAGGUGUUUCUCACUCUCCUCUGUCCAGUCUUUUGUCCAGUCCGUGCCCCAUGUCCAGUCUAGGUCCCCUGCCCAGUCCCAGUCUCCGUUCCCUGUCCAGUCUCUGUCUCCUGUCCAGUCCCCGGUCAGUCCCUGUGUCCAGUCCCCUGUUCAGCCAUGUGUCCUGUCCCCAUCCCAGUCUGCAUUCCAGUCUCCGUCCCAUGUCAAGUUCCCUGCCCGGUCUCCGUCUCCUGUCCAGUUUCCAUUCCCUGUCCAGUCCCUCUGUUCCCUCUCUCUCGGCGCCUCUGGUAGUGGCGCCGUUGAGGGGGGGUAAUGUAACACCUCAGCCCAUGUCUGUCUUCUGUUUCUCCCUCAUUUGGUCUCUUGUGCUCCUGCCCCUCUGUUUACCUGUCAUGUUUCCCAGCCAUGUGCUAUUGUUGUAUUUAGUAUCUGUCUCCACCCUAGCUCCGCCCCAGCCCUGCCCUAUAGCAUUAGUGUUCUCACCUGUGUCCUCUUUGUAACCCCGCCCCCUCGUCAUCCAAGCCCAGGUGUUUCUCACUCUCCUCUUGUAUUUAAGCCCCUCUGUUUGAAUGUUCAGUGUCGAGUCUUUUGUAUCUUUGUAUCCUUGCUGUCCGUAUGUAUCCUAGUCUUAGUUUAGUAGUCUGUGUUUCUUAGUUUUUGUUCUAGUUUGAUAUUCUCCUUGCCUUGUUUUUUUUGUAAGUUUUUUGCGUUACCCGUGUUUUGUUUACUGUUUUAUUUUAUCUUGUUUGUUUAAAUAAAAUAUAUUUGC